rnacentral:rRNA from 1 species
UCCGUAGGGUGCAGGCGUUAAUCGGAAUUACUGGGCGUAAAGCGUGCGCAGGCGGCUUCCUAAGUCAGAUGUGAAAUCCCCGGGCUUAACCUGGGAACUGCGUUUGAAACUGGGGGGCUAGAGUGCGGCAGAGGGGGGUGGAAUUCCACGUGUAGCAGUGAAAUGCGUAGAUAUGUGGAGGAACACCGAUGGCGAAGGCAGCCCCCUGGGCCUGCACUGACGCUCAUGCACGAAAGCGUGGGGAGCAAACAGG